GACGAACGCUGUCGUCUUUCUUCACACAUUCAAGUCGACCCGAAAGUCCCUGCUUUUUUCGGUUGCUCUAUUUGCGAACGGUUGAGUAACACGUAAGUAACCUCCCCUUGCCUUUGGGAUAACUUCAGUAAACUGGUCCUAAUACCGGUUAGUAGCUCCUGCUGCAUGGUGGGGGUUGUAAAGUUUCGGCGGUUGGGGAUGGACUCGCGGCUUACCAGCUUGUUGGUGGGGUAGUGGCUUACCAAGGAUUUGACGGGUAUCCGGCCUGAGAGGGUGACCGGCCACAUUGGGACUGAGAUACGCCCGAGACUGCUACGGGAGGCAGCAGUGGGGAAUAUUGCACAAGGGGCGGAAGCUUGAUGAAGAAACGCAGCGUGCGAGAUGAAGGCAGUAGGGUUGUAACCCCUUUUCGACUGUAACGAAGCGUGAGUGACGGUAAUGGGUAAAGAAGCAGAGGCGAACUACGUG
rnacentral:rRNA from 1 species